GGGGAUUUAGCUCAGUGGUAGAGCACUUGCCUAGCAAGCACAAGGCCCUGGGUUCGAUCCCCAGCUCCG
rfam:Rattus norvegicus chromosome 5, whole genome shotgun sequence.